rnacentral:misc_RNA from 1 species
AGAGGAUUCCACUUUCGACCCCUGUCAACAGUUGAAAAAUUUUGUGAACAACUUGAACUGAAGAAACAACAGAACACAUAAUGAUUUGCAAUAAAGGUUUCCUGAUUACAUUGCAUACAAUAAAAAAAUCUAUCUUUUUUUUUAAUCACUAAUUCGCCAUGAUAUUUCUUGUAAAAUAAGAGGCUAAAGCAAAACCUCAACCAUCAAUAGCCUAUGCCAAAAACAUUCUUUCAUCAUAAAGUCGGGCAAGUUCUUGUUAGAAAUUGGAAGGAACUUUUGAAAAGAGUAACAGCGAAUGAUUUCCAAAUCCAAUAAUGGACUCUUCACAUAAGAAAUCAAGAGGUCUUAAAAUUCAAACCAUGAUG